CUCGAGCUCUGGAGUUCGAGACCCUUUACCCUGGGUUUGAAAAGUAAAGCCAUUGCAUUCUACUUAGUGGCCAGCAGGGGGUGAGCACAACAAAAACUUCAAAUUACAUGAAAGUCUAUAGAAAAAUGACCCUUUGGUUCACUUGAUUUAUCACCUCAUUAAACACUUUAGUGAUUAAUUUGUAUGAUGAACCGUUAGUUUCAAAUCUUAUUGAAUACUACACGAUGCUCAUUUUGUAAACAGUGAGAGUGAUAUAUAUAAUAAAGAUGGGCUAUGCUUGGUGCAAGCAUCAAUUUUUUUCUUCUUAUUUUCUCACUCUGACACAGUAUAUAUAGAUACUGUAUUUUUUUAAUUAACAAAAGAAAGCUUUAGAAGACUAAACUAGAAGAAAAUGUUUGCAAAUAUACUUUUAUAAGAUUCUAAGCCGAGAUUUAAAAGUGUAUUAAGAAAAGGUUUUGGAUAAAUGCAAUUCUGAAAGCUAAACCUGCAGUUUUAAACCUCCCUCUUAUUCCACUGAUCCACCAAAGAGCAAAAUAAGUACAUCUAUCAAAGUGCUACUAAAGAAUGACAACAUCCAGGGAGAAUCCAGCUCUUGCAGCGAUGCAGUGCAAUCAAUCCUUAGUCACGCUGAACAGCUCAAACAGCAUGAGUGGGAGUUUCCACUGCACUUCUCAGCUCACUGUUAUUAAAUCAUGAUUUACACUUAUCAGGAGCAAAAACAAUGAUGAAAUCAUCUGGAAUUUACCGUCCGCAGAUGUUCACUCAUUAAAAUCUUGUAAAAAACCCCAAACCAAGUCAUUCAUAUUAGCUUCACUUCGAAUCGACUCUCGCUCUGUUUGUGUUGUGAAUAUUUCAUUACCCUGCCCUCACCAUACAACCUGACCCCCUUGUUUACAGGCGUCCGCUCUUUGGCUCACAGUUUCUAAGCGAUGAAAAGAAAAGCCUCAGUAUAACAAAAACUGUGAAUGAGAGCAACUCCCAGCCAGCAGAGAUGGGCGAUUCAUUUUUCUCUCCUCUACAUGCGCACUCAGCGGGGUCAGGAGAGGUCAGAGCCGAUGCAUUCAGCAGCCUUUUACCUCUUGACCUCUAGACACCUCAUUAUUAUGUCUGCAUACAGACUGUGGGGUCAGCUCACAUCAGCAAACACUCAAGUAAAUCACCAACUCAUUGGCCACUUGUUCACAGGCCUCAUUGCUGACUGUAGAUAUUCAGGUUUCAGAUGCUUAGUGAUAAAAACUACCCAUUUCUACAUUUUUAAACUUAACAGAAAAGCAAAAAAGCACUGAAAAGUUACAGAUAUAAACUAUUUAAAAAAGUCAUCGAGCAGUUCCUUAGUGCACAACAUAGGGGAAAAUGUGAAAAACACACGUAAGAAAAAAGUAACAGCCUAUAUUUUUAAGUACACUUAAAAUUCCUUCAACCUUUAAAUCAGCAAGGAGCUCAUUUUACAGCUCUGCCCUCCUGAUUUGCUACAGAGGCCUUCGGGAGGCUGCAGCACGCCCUCUCAUAUCACAUCAUUUAACGGUCUUUGAGGUCACAGCUGACUCCUAUUGGGCUGUAAUGGCCCUCCCGCUGAGCUUGGCUCGGGUCCCUGCUUUCCCUACACCUUUGAAGUACUCACACACUCAGACUCAGCAGAGGAGGAAGGGGCGUUCCUGGGCUGGUCCCAGCUGAAAAGGCUCUCUGGGUUUCCGUAGCCUCCAGGUACACCUGGCCUAUUACUCUCACAAAUUAAAACAGCCGCCCUUUGACCUCCUGCUUUUGUUCCGUCUCAGGAGCACCCAGAGAAAGGCGGGAGUUUUUGGUAAGAGAUUUAAAGAACAAAAAGAAAAACUCGUUCCCGUCUUUACUGGAAGUAAAGGUAGUGUUAACCACAAGGCAGAUGAUAAUGAAAGCCCCUGAAGUCAGAACAAGCAGAAGAAGUAACCUGAGCAGCCUCGGCACGAUCAGCUCUGUCAACAUGAACCAGAAGGCUUACGGGAAAACGGUUGCAUUCAAAAAGGUGAAACAAAAGUGUUUUUUCCUCUGUGGUCGGACAGGACGAGCGAGGAAGGAACGAAUUCACCUUUCCACAUGCACAAAGCCAAGAAAAACAAGACAGGAACGAGGGAUUAAUCUGUCAACAGGCUGCAUUUAUGCUGCGCACAUUAUGGCCCGCUCAGGAAGGAGGCAGCUCACACCUUACAAAUGGCUUGGACCAAACCACUAGGCCAGCAGUCUAUCGCAAGGUACCAGCCCCAGAAUCCACUGUCAGUCCCCAGUGAGACCACCAUCAGGCCUAACUUGCUGUUUCACGAUCAAUAAAAGCUGUUUAAUCACAUUUGGAGAUGUCCUGCUAGUAAAUGAGGGUUGCUGUUGGCCGGAGCCCAUCCCACUUGUUGCAGGGUGGGAGCUUUGCCAGGCUGCCAGUCCAUCCCACGGUUACCACACAGAGUCAGACAAAAUUUCACGAUCGCAACCACAGCUACAGCCAAGUUACCCUUACAGGGAGAACAUGCAGUCCCCACACAGAAAAGCUCCACCAGGCCAGUGGGUUCAAACUCAGGACGUUCUUACGACAGAGCUAAUCACACCACCACUGUACAGUCUGCAU